CCUACGGGAGGCAGCAGUGAGGAAUAUUGGUCAAUGGGCGCGAGCCUGAACCAGCCAAGUAGCGUGAAGGAUGACUGCCCUACGGGUUGUAACCUUCUUUUAUAAAGGAAUAAAGUGAGACACGUGUGCCUUUUUGUAUGUCCUUUAUGAUUAAGGAUCGGCUAACUCUGUGCCAGCAGCCGCGGUAAUACGGAGGAUCCGAGCGUUAUCCGGAUUUAUUGGGUUUAAAUGGUGCGUAGGCGGCCUUUUAAGUCAGCGGUGAAAGUCUGUGGCUCAACCAUAGAAUUGCCGUUGAAACUGGGAGGCUUGAGUAUGUUUGAGGCAGGCGGAAUGCGUGGUGUAGCGGUGAAAUGCUUAGAUAUCACGCAGAACCCCGAUUGCGAAGGCAGCCUACUAAGCCAUGACUGACGCUGAUGCACGAAAGCGUGGGGAUCAAACAGGAUUAGAUACCCCAGUAGUC
rnacentral:rRNA from 1 species